rnacentral:rRNA from 1 species
GAUGAACGCUGGCGGCGUGCCUAAUACAUGCAAGUCGAGCGAACAGACGAGGAGCUUGCACCUCUGACGUUAGCGGCGGACGGGUGAGUAACACGUGGAUAACCUACCUAUAAGACUGGGAUAACUUCGGGAAACCGGAGCUAAUACCGGAUAAUAUCUUGAACCGCAUGGUUCAAUAGUGACAGACGGUUUUGCUGUCACUUAUAGAUGGAUCCGCGCCGCAUUAGCUAGUUGGGAAGGUAACGGCUUACCAAGGCAACGAUGCGUAGCCGACCUGAGAGGGUGAUCUGCCACACUGGAACUGAGACACGGUCCAGACUCCUACGGGAGGCAGCGGUGGGGAAUCUUCCGCAAUGGGCGAAAGCCUGACGUAGCAACGCCGCGUGAGUGAUGAAGGUCUUCGGAUCGUAAAACUCUGUUAUUAGGGAAGAACAAAUGUGUAAGUAACUAUGCACUUCUUGACGGUACCUAAUCAGAAAGCCACGGCUAACUACGUG